ACCCCCGUGCACGCUCAAGUAAGAGCGUUGGCGGUUAACCAGAGAUGAGAAAUACCUUCGAAUCAGAAGGUUGCAGGUUCAAGUCCUGCCGGGGGUA
rnacentral:tRNA from 1 species